rnacentral:tRNA from 1 species
CGGGGUGUAGUAUAGCGGUUGUACGCAUGCAUGGGGUGCAUGUAGCCGGGGUUCAACUCCCCGCACCCCGA